rnacentral:rRNA from 1 species
CCUACGGGGGACAGCAGUGAGGAAUAUUGGUCAAUGGCCGUAAGGCUGAACCAGCCAAGUCGCGUGAAGGAAGAAGGAUCUAUGGUUUGUAAACUUCUUUUAUAGGGGAAUAAAGGUAUCCACGUGUGGCUAUUUGCAUGUACCCUAUGAAUAAGCAUCGGCUAACUCCGUGCCAGCAGCCGCGGUAAUACGGAGGAUGCGAGCGUUAUCCGGAUUUAUUGGGUUUAAAGGGUGCGUAGGUUGUUUUUUAAGUCAGCGGUGAAAGUUUGUGGCUCAACCAUAAAAUUGCCGUUGAAACUGGAAGACUUGAGUGUGUUUGAGGUAGGCGGAAUGCGUGGUGUAGCGGUGAAAUGCAUAGAUAUCACGCAGAACACCGAUUGCGAAGGCAGCUUACUAAGCCAUAACUGACACUGAAGCACGAAAGCGUGGGGAUCAAACAGGAUUAGAUACCCGAGUAGUC